rnacentral:rRNA from 1 species
AGUGAACGCUGGCGGUAGGCCUAACACAUGCAAGUCGAACGGCAGCACAGUAAGAGCUUGCUCUUACGGGUGGCGAGUGGCGGACGGGUGAGGAAUACAUCGGAAUCUACUUUUUCGUGGGGGAUAACGUAGGGAAACUUACGCUAAUACCGCAUACGACCUACGGGUGAAAGCAGGGGAUCUUCGGACCUUGCGCGAUUGAAUGAGCCGCUGUCGGAUUAGCUAGUUGGCGGGGUAAAGGCCCACCAAGGCGACGAUCCGUAGCUGGUCUGAGAGGAUGGUCAGCCACACUGGAACUGAGACACGGUCCAGACGCCUGCGGGAGGCAGCAGUGGGGAAUGUCGGGCAAUGGGCGCAAGCCUGAUCCAGCCAUACCGCGUGGGUGAAGAAGGCCUUCGGGUUGUAAAGCCCUUUUGUUGGGAAAGAAAAGCAGCAGGUUAAGACCCCGCUGUUCUGACGGUACCCAAAGAAUAAGCACCGGCUAACUUCGUG